GGCGGUUCUUGGGUGAUGCACCCCGGAAUUGGGCUCCCACCUCUCUGGUCCCGGGUAUGUCACACUAGAACCACA
rfam:Myotis davidii contig195695, whole genome shotgun sequence.